GUCUUUUGACUUAGAUUUGGGUGGCGGACGGGUGAGUAACGCGUAAAGAACUUGCCUCACAGCUAGGGACAACAUUUGGAAACGAAUGCUAAUACCUGAUAUUAUGAUUUUAAGGCAUCUUAGAAUUAUGAAAGCUAUACGCACUGUGAGAGAGCUUUGCGUCCCAUUAGCUAGUUGGAGAGGUAACGGCUCACCAAGGCGAUGAUGGGUAGCCGGCCUGAGAGGGUGAACGGCCACAAGGGGACUGAGACACGGCCCUUACUCCUACGGGAGGCAGCAGUGGGGAAUAUUGGACAAUGGACCAAGAGUCUGAUCCAGCAAUUCUGUGUGCACGAUGACGUUUUUCGGAAUGUAAAGUGCUUUCAGUUGGGAAGAAAAAAAUGACGGUACCAACAGAAGAAGUGACGGCUAAAUACGUGCCAGCAGCCGCGGUAAUACGUAUGUCACGAGCGUUAUCCGGAUUUAUUGGGCGUAAAGCGCGUCUAGGUGGUUAUGUAAGUCUGAUGUGAAAAUGCAGGGCUCAACUCUGUAUUGCGUUGGAAACUGUGUAACUAGAGUACUGGAGAGGUAAGCGGAACUACAAGUGUAGAGGUGAAAUUCGUAGAUAUUUGUAGGAAUGCCGAUGGGGAAGCCAGCUUACUGGACAGAUACUGACGCUGAAGCGCGAAAGCGUGGGUAGCAAACAGGAUUAGACACCCUGGUAGUCCACGCCGUAAACGAUGAUUACUAGGUGUUGGGGGUCGAACCUCAGCGCCCAAGCAAACGCGAUAAGUAAUCCGCCUGGGGAGUACGUACG
rnacentral:rRNA from 1 species